rnacentral:rRNA from 1 species
AUACGGAGGAUCCGAGCGUUAUCCGGAUUUAUUGGGUUUAAAGGGUGCGCAGGCGGGAGAUUAAGUCGGCGGUGAAAUUUUUCAGCUCAACUGUAAAAGGGCCUUUGAAAAUGGGUUCCUUGGGUGUAGAUGAAGGAGGCGGAAUUUGUGGGGUAGCGGUGAAAUGCAUAGAUAUCACGAGGAACUCCGAUUGCGCAGGCAGCUUACUAAACUACUACUGACGCUCAGGCACGAAGGCGUGGGGAUCAAACAGGAUUAGAUACCCUGGUAGUCCACGCAGUAAACGAUGAUUACUAGCUGUUUGCGAUACAAUGUAAGCGGCUGAGCGAAAGCGUUAAGUAAUCCACCUGGGGAGUACGUUCGCAAGAAUGAAACUCAAAGGAAUUGGCGGGG